rnacentral:tRNA from 1 species
GGCGCAAAAUUGGUCGAUUUUGUUCCUUGGUAAGGAUGAGGUCGCCGGUUCGAAUCCGGCCAUCAGCUCCA